CAGCCGUAAACUAUGCGCGUUAGGUGUAUCGGUGACCACGAGUUACCGAGGUGCCGAAGGGAAACCGUGAAACGUGCCGCCUGGGGGAGUACGGUCGCAAGGCUGAAACUUAAAGGAAUUGGCGGGGGAGCACCACAACAGGUGGAGCCUGCGGUUUAAUUGGACUCAACGCCGGGAAGCUCACCGGAUAGGACAGCAGAAUGAUUGCCGGGCUGAAGACCCUGCAUGACUAGCUGAGAGGUGGUGCAUGGCGUCAGUGACU
rnacentral:rRNA from 1 species